UGAACGCUGGCGGCGUGCCUACUACAUGCAAGUCGAGCGAACAGACGCGGAGCUUGCUCCUCUGACGUUAGCGGCGGACGGGUGAGUAACACGUGGAUAACCUACCUAUAAGACUGGGAUAACUUCGGGAAACCGGAGCUAAUACCGGAUAAUAUAUUGAACCGCAUGGUUCAAUAGUGAAAGACGGUUUUGCUGUCACUUAUAGAUGGAUCCGCGCCGCAUUAGCUAGUUGGUAAGGUAACGGCUUACCAAGGCGACGAUGCGUAGCCGACCUGAGAGGGUGAUCGGCCACACUGGAACUGAGACACGGUCCAGACUCCUACGGGAGGCAGCAGUAGGGAAUCUUCCGCAAUGGGCGAAAGCCUGACGGAGCAACGCCGCGUGAGUGAUGAAGGUCUUCGGAUCGUAAAACUCUGUUAUUAGGGAAGAACAAAUGUGUAAGUAACUAUGCACGUCUUGACGGUACCUAAUCAGAAAGCCACGGCUAACUACGUG
rnacentral:rRNA from 1 species